UCGUCACACUAUCAUUAACUGAAUCCAUAGGUUAAUGAGGCGAACCGGGGGAACUGAAACAUCUAAGUACCCCGAGGAAAAGAAAUCAACCGAGAUUCCCCCAGUAGCGGCGAGCGAACGGGGAGGAGCCCAGAGCCUGAAUCAGCAUGUGUGUUAGUGGAAGCGUCUGGAAAGGCGCGCGAUACAGGGUGACAGCCCCGUACACAAAAGCGCAUGUGCUGUGAGCUCGAUGAGUAGGGCGGGACACGUGGUAUCCUGUCUGAAUAUGGGGGGACCAUCCUCCAAGGCUAAAUACUCCUGACUGACCGAUAGUGAACCAGUACCGUGAGGGAAAGGCGAAAAGAA
rnacentral:rRNA from 1 species